AUUGAACGCUGGCGGCAGGCCUAACACAUGCAAGUCGAGCGAGCGGCGGACGGGUGAGUAAGGUCUGGGAAACUGCCUGAUGGAGGGGGAUAACUACUGGAAACGGUAGCUAAUACCGCAUACCAUCAGCAGUGACAAGAUGGGAUUAGCUAGUAGGUGGGGUAACGGCACACCUAGGCGACGAUCCCUAGCUGGUCUGAGAGGAUGACCAGCCACACUGGAACUGAGACACGGUCCCUACUCCUCCGGGAGGCAGCAGUGGGGAAUAUUGCCCAAUGGGCGCAAUCCUGAUGCAGCCAUGCCGCUUGUGUGCAGAAGGCCUUCGGGUUGUAAAGCACUUUCAGCGGGGAGGCGUUACCCGCAGAAGAAGCACCGGCUAACUCCGUGCCAGCAGCCGCGGUAAUAC
rnacentral:rRNA from 1 species